GCCCGAGUGGCGGAAUGGCAGACGCGCCGGACUCAAAAUCCGGUGCCGGCAACGGCGUGCGAGUUCGACUCUCGCCUCGGGCA
rnacentral:tRNA from 2 species